UUUUUAUUUAAUUUUCACAACAAACAUUCAUUUAACAAAUAUAUUUUAUUAAUAAUAAUAAUAAAAAAAAAGACAGUAGCAUGUUCAGGAUACAGAUUGGGGAAUAUGCCCUGCCUCUGUCCAUAUAACUAUCUUUUCAAACAAGUGACUGAAAAAGAAUUCAUGGACUCAUAGCUACAAGAGUCUCUUCAAUUCUUCUAGACUUUACAUUUACAAAAUAACUUAAAUUAUAUUAUUGAUUGUCCCUUAUUACCAAGCCCAGCUUCCUCACAGCAGACCCAAUAUAUUUAAACAUUCAUCUGCUUUCAUUUACAUUUCACUUCAUACACAACCGGUUUUCAAGCCUAUCUGGUUCAGCUUAAUUCAUUUUUGCUUAUUAUAUCACCAUUUUUUUAAUUAUUUUUUUAUUUUUUGGUGAUGCAGAAACAUAUUUCAUUAUUUCACUUCCAUUUUUGUAUUUUCUUCCCUUUAUUUUUUUCCAUUUAAUAUUGAAUAAGCAAAAAUAAAGUUGUUUUUUUUGUUGUUAUUUUUGUUUUUGUUUUUUCUGUGAAAGAUUUCAGAGAGAAUUAAACAAUGUCGUAUUGCACAGUCCAAUAAUUAUAUUACAAAACAGAAAUAUUAAA